rnacentral:rRNA from 1 species
CCCUUAGAUGUUCUGGGCCGCGCGCGCGCUACACUGUUUGAUUCAGCGAGUCUUAACCUUGACCGAAAGGUUUGGGUAAUCUUCUAAAGUCAAACGUGAUGGGGAUCGAUCAUUGCAAUUAUUGAUCGUGAACGAGGAAUUCCUAGUAAAUGCAAGUCAUCAGCUUGCGUUGAUUACGUCCCUGCCCUUUGUACACACCGCCCGUCGCUACUACCGAUUGAAUGGUUUAGUGAGAUCUCCGGAUUGGCUCUGUAGGUCCCGCAAGGGAUUUAUUAGUAGCCAAGAAGCUGCUCAAACUUGAUCAUUUAGAGGAAGUAAAAGUCGUAACA